rnacentral:rRNA from 1 species
AUUGAACGCUGGCGGCAGGCCUAACACAUGCAAGUCGAGCGGAGCGGCGGACGGGUGAGUAAUGCCUAGGAAUCUGCCUGGUAGUGGGGGAUAACGUUCGGAAACGGACGCUAAUACCGCAUACUAUCAGAUGAGCCUAGGUCGGAUUAGCUAGUUGGUGGGGUAAUGGCUCACCAAGGCGACGAUCCGUAACUGGUCUGAGAGGAUGAUCAGUCACACUGGAAAUGAGACACGGUCCAGACUCCUACGUGAGGCAGAAGUGGGGAAUAUUGGACAAUGGGCGAAAGCCUGAUCAAGCAAGGCCGCGUGUAUGAUGAAGGCCUUCGGGUUGUAAAGUACUUUUGGCAGAGAAGCGGUAUCUGCAGAAUAAGCACCGGCUAACUACGUGCCAGCAGCCGCGGUAAUAC